rnacentral:rRNA from 1 species
AGAGUUUGAUCAUGGCUCAGAUUGAACGCUGGCGGCAGGCUUAACACAUGCAAGUCGAACGAUGACUAACUAGCUUGCUAGUUAUGAUUAGUGGCGGACGGGUGAGUAACAUUUAGGAAUCUGCCUAGUAGUGGGGGAUAGCUCGGGGAAACUCGAAUUAAUACCGCAUACGACCUACGGGUGAAAGGGGGCGCAAGCUCUUGCUAUUAGAUGAGCCUAAAUCAGAUUAGCUAGUUGGUGGGGUAAAGGCCCACCAAGGCGACGAUCUGUAACUGGUCUGAGAGGAUGAUCAGUCACACCGGAACUGAGACACGGUCCGGACUCCUACGGGAGGCAGCAGUGGGGAAUAUUGGACAAUGGGGGCAACCCUGAUCCAGCCAUGCCGCGUGUGUGAAGAAGGCCUUUUGGUUGUAAAGCACUUUAAGCAGGGAGGAGAGGCUAAUGGUUAAUACCCAUUAGAUUAGACGUUACCUGCAGAAUAAGCACCGGCUAACUCUGUGCCAGCAGCCGCGGUAAUACAGAGGGUGCGAGCGUUAAUCGGAAUUACUGGGCGUAAAGCGAGUGUAGGUGGCUCAUUAAGUCACAUGUGAAAUCCCCGGGCUUAACCUGGGAACUGCAUGUGAUACUGGUGGUGCUAGAAUAUGUGAGAGGGAAGUAGAAUUCCAGGUGUAGCGGUGAAAUGCGUAGAGAUCUGGAGGAAUACCGAUGGCGAAGGCAGCUUCCUGGCAUAAUAUUGACACUGAGAUUCGAAAGCGUGGGUAGCAAACAGGAUUAGAUACCCUGGUAGUCCACGCCGUAAACGAUGUCUACUAGCCGUUGGGGUCCUUGAGACUUUAGUGGCGCAGUU